rnacentral:rRNA from 1 species
UGGGGAAUUUUGGACAAUGGGCGCAAGCCUGAUCCAGCCAUGCCGCGUGCAGGAUGAAGGCCUUCGGGUUGUAAACUGCUUUUGUACGGAACGAAAAGGUGCCUUCUAAUAAAGGGCGCUCAUGACGGUACCGUAAGAAUAAGCACCGGCUAACUACGUGCCAGCAGCCGCGGUAAUACGUAGGGUGCGAGCGUUAAUCGGAAUUACUGGGCGUAAAGCGUGCGCAGGCGGUUUUGUAAGACAGAUGUGAAAUCCCCGGGCUUAACCUGGGAACUGCGUUUGUGACUGCAAGGCUGGAGUACGGCAGAGGGCUGUGGAAUUCCACGUGUCGCAGUGAAAUGCGUAGAGAUGUGGAGGAACACCGAUGGCGAAGGCAGCCCCCUGGGCCUGUACUGACGCUCAUGCACGAAAGCGUGGGGAGCAAACA